GAGGACUGAUUCCCUAUAUAAAAUCUGAGGUUUCUUUUACAAUGAGAAAUGCUAAAGAUAAGUAAUAAUCGUAAAGGGGAUAGGAAAAACGUUAGCUGAAAAUAUGAGAAAGCAUGUUGAAUGUGACCUGGCCAGGACUGACCCUCGACUGAAUCGGUUUGGGGGUGGAAACUGCGAGUGAAAGGAGGACAUUAAAUAUGUUAGACCACAGAACAGUCACUAAGUGUUGCAUCAUGGAGUAAGUUUUGCCAAGUGGUAACUGGACGGUUCACUAGUUGAGCUGAGAAAAGACAUCAUUAAUUCACUCACUCAUUGUAGGUUAUUGAAUGAAUACAUAGAUGUAUGAAAUGAAUGAAAGAAUAAACAAAUGAAGAACUUUCUAAGCGCUCAGCACUAUACCUGGCAUAUACAGCUGUUGUGGGGAUUAGAAAAGAUAUUAGAAAGGAAAGAAGACACAAAAUGAAUGAAUGAAUGAAGUGUUUACAAACCCAAGUCAAAGUAUUGCAUUUGAAGGGAUAAGCUGCAUACAAAUGUAAAAGCUGCAAAGGAGAAUGAGAAUCUGAUCUGGAGAAAGAACAUUGAACUGAGAUUCCAUAUACCUGGGAUAUUACUCCAUCCAUGACACUCACUAGCCACGAGGCUAUAAAGGUGUAAUUUUACCUGUCAGCACUUUUAGACUUAAUGAUCUGUGACAACAGCUCUUACUCUAAGAUACUAUAAACCUUGACAGAAAACAAAAGCUAACCAGUAACCUAAGUCUUUCUCUGUGUAUUGAAGGAGUUAAUUCAGAUACUAAAGAAGUUUUAUUAUAUACAUAUCUCUUUCCUAACUGAGGCUGGGAGGAACUAGCCCCAGUAAUUCUAAGCAACAGUUUUAAAGACAUAAGAAAAAAGAAUAUUGGCUCAGAAACAAAAUACAAAGGACACUGGUUGUGAAACAAACCACAUGAAGUAAGAGGAAAUGCUUUUUUUAUGAGAAGAUCCAAGCCAACCUCCUCAAGAAGAAAAAAAAAAAAAAACUAUCAUUAUAUCCAGACAAAUUAAAAGUCCAUUCCAAUGCAAAGCAGUUUCAUUUAAGGCAAGUCAAAUAGUGCAAAGGUCUUGCUGAGUUGGACCUAGAAGCUCCACACUUAAAACAGAGAGGCAUUUUAACUUCUUGUAUGGUUUUACUCUUGCCAGUUACCAAUUUUUUGUUAAUUGCCUUUGGUUGUCCUUCUUGCCCAAUGUUGGAAGAUUUUCUUGGAAUGGAAGAACAGUGAUGCUGGAUGUAAGAACGUUGUCUGUGCUGUCCAUGUUAGGGAGAGCCAGGAACAAUACAAGUCAAAUUUCAUGUGAAUGUAGGAACCACCGUCAUGCUGGCUUCACCAAGACCAGAAUGUAAUCUGGGGAACACACAUUUCGCUUGGCAAAAUCUCUUGUAACCAAGUAAACUGUUUGUCUCUUUAGUGGCCCAAGUUUGUUAACUCAUACUCUAUUAUCCACUGUUAGCAUGACUCAGUUAUACCCCACGCCCUUUUUCUGUGUGAUUUUCAAAUCCUGCAAACCAGUAUGUUGUCUCAUACCUCUGGAUCAGAUAUUUUCGAGAGAGUAUUAAAACACACCACUGUUGUGUAAAUCAGAGCAUUUAUACAAGGCUAUCAAGUAGGUUGCUGGCCAGCCUACAGAUUGCUCACACUUAAUUAGGGCUCCACCCUGGUUCUAUCAUCUUUGGCCAGAGUAGAAUGGUCAAAUGAAUCAACAUUGAUAUUUACAAAAGAAACCCCUUGGAAGAAUAUUUUGGGUGAGGCCGGCACUUGGAGAUUAGGCCUGUCCGAGGCAGAAUCACAAGGCCCAUUAUGAUAAUUGGGGUAGCUUUCCUUAUAUUUAAACUGGAAGAAGCCACAGCACCUCCAGAUACCUCUGAACGUAUCUUCAGUAUCAGCAGCCACUUGAAUGACCCACUUAGUUGUAUUGACAACAUAAGGCCACUUUUCAACGAACUUUCUGCAUCAGUCAGCUGUGUUGCUUAGAUUUCUGUUAUUAGUUAGCUAAGUUAUGCUGUAGUAACAAUGGUCCCCACAAUCUUAGUGGCUUACAAAGGGUUACUGCUCUCUCAUGUGUGUACACUGUAAUGGAUUUUGGUUCUGCUCCACAUUGUCUCUACCUUGGGACCCACGCUGGCUAAAAGGUCUCUGUCUCUGAAGGGUGACUACACAUCUCAAGUUUAUCCAACACAGUGCUAGUUGAUGCCCAUUGUUGCAGAGCAAUUAUUAAUAAAUAGCAUAUCUUUUCACUCUCA